GAUGAACGCUGGCGGCGUGCCUAAUACAUGCAAGUCGAGCGAAGCGGGGACGGGUGAGUAACAGGUGGAAAACCUGCUAUAAGACUGGGAUAAAUUAGGGAAACCGUAGCUAAACCGGAUAAUUAGAGAUGGAUCCGCGCUGCAUUAGCUAGUUUGUAAGGUAACGGCUUACCAAGGGAACGAUGCAUAGCCGACCUGAGAGGGUGAUCGGCCACACUUGCACUGAGACACGGCCCAGACUCCUACGGGAGGCAGCAGUAGGGAAUCUUCCGCCAUGGUCGAAAGCCUGACCGAGCAACUCCGCGUGAGUGAUGAAGGUCUUCGGAUCGUAAAACUCUGUUAUUAGGGAAGCGGUACCUAAUCAGAAAGCCACGGCUAACUACGUGCCAGCAGCCGCGGUAAUAC
rnacentral:rRNA from 1 species